GUGCCUUGUGGGGUGGCCGCCCGCGGAAAUUUGAAAUGAUCGCUUGCUGCCGUGUGGCAGUCUGGGGCCUGUGGGGAUCGCACCAGGGCUCCCUGAUUGAGAAGCCGAGGAGGAGAAAGAAAUUUUCCAAGCAAGUCAGCUUUUGUUUUGGGAAUGAGUCAGAGACUACCAAGACUAUAUUUUAGGUGAGUAGUUUCUCUUUUUUGCUUCUUUUAUCUUUUCAGUUUACAAAAAUUAGAUUUUACCUUAGUCCCAAUUGCCAGUAGUUGGUUCUGAAAAAGUGAAUUUCAAUAGAUUUAUUAACUUCUCUGUGUUAUGCUUUCUCAAUUCUUAUUGUGUUUAAUUUGUUUGUAGCUGACUGCAAGGUCUCUGAAGUAAGGGGAUUCAUAGCGGAGUUCUUGGAGAAAGUCCUUGAACCAUCUGGAUGGCAGGCAUUCUGGCACACUGAUGUGCUUGAGGUACUGGUCCAGUGAUCUGUGGUCUGGUAUGAAGGUAACUGUUAUUGUUUGUCCUGGCCAUUAUGUGGUACAUGGCACAUUCUUCAUUGGUGACCUCAUUGAAUUAGAAGAGAAAAACAAAAUUACUUAUAAUCCAGUCAUCCCAUGCCCACCUUCCUCCCACGCUCAGCAUUCUGUAUAUAGGCUCUGAGGCCCUCGCUAAUGUUCCCGAAGGCUUGUCUACACCCUCCAAGUGACUCUGCCUAUUUAAUGCGGUUCACUGCUUUCAUCCACUCAAACAAAGGCUCUUCUCUAGACAAUGAGAGUUACUUCUUACUUAUAGCUUGCUGGUUCUGCUUUAUGAUGAGAGCCAAACAAGUUCUCUACUUUUCUAAUACACUUUUUGUUAGCUGAUUUAGAGGUGUGGCAUUAUUGGUUUAAUAUUUAGCUGGGCUCAAUAUCAUGUGCCUGAAAUCACAGCCACCAGGCAGGCUGAGGCAGGAAGAUUCCUAGAGGCCAGCCUAGGCAACAUAAUGAAACUCUGUCUCAAAAUACAGAGUCAAUUUUUUUAUAAGUUAAUAAAACAGACCAAUUUUUUUCUAGUAGCUAAAACUGGUUGGAGUCAAUUUGACAGAUUUUUUGUCAGUCUGUUUAACAAUAUUAAAGUCAGAGAAUCUUAAAAAUGCUAGAGUCAUAGAAUUUUAGGGUUAGAAAAAUAACUUAGAAAGGCUGAAUGCCUUAAAAUUUUUUUGAUGAGCUGUGAGUCCUGAAUGUUAUUUAUUUCUAUAGCAGUUUUAUGAAGAAUUUAGUGCUAAGUCUGUCUAAGAUGGUUGAUAGGAUAAUCUUCGUGCUAAGAGGACAUGUGUUAAAAAUUGGAUACCCUGGCUUAAAUUAACUAAGGUCUAUGGGGAGAUAAUUAGAGCAAAUGGCUAGGUGACUAGGUUGAUGGAUCUCAAGUUAUCAUUUGGAAUCACUUGAUCUAGAGGAAUGUGCCCUAGCAUAAUUGUGUUUAGACAUUUCUCCUCACCCUUUCUAAGUGUUCUUGCUCUCUUCGUUAGGAUAUAGUCUACCAGAUGAUACUGUAAUUAAAAAGGGAGGGAGCAAAAGAGAUACUUCUGUGGAUUACCCAAGUACGGAUAUUAAAAUCUCAAGUAUAAAAUUUGUUCAGCAUGAUGCUGUAGAAGGAAUCUGAAUGUUUGGUGUAUUAUUUCUUCUAUGAUUUGAAAGAAAACUUUACUUUGUAUGGAAGCUAGAAUUUAAUAAAAUACCACUUUUGAAUAUAAAGAAGGCUGAUCAAUUCUUUAUGUACAUAACGUGUUGACUUA
rnacentral:lncRNA from 1 species